UACGUAGGGUGCGAGCGUUGUCCGGAAUUAUUGGGCGUAAAGGGCUCGUAGGCGGUUUGUCGCGUCGGGAGUGAAAUCCACUGGCUUAACUGGUGGCUUGCUUUCGAUACGGGCAGACUGGAGGUAUGCAGGGGAGAACGGAAUUCCUGGUGUAGCGGUGAAAUGCGCAGAUAUUGGGAAGAACACCAGUGGCGAAGGCGGUUCUCUGGGACGGUACUGACGCUGAGACGCGAAAGCGUGGGGAGCGAACAGG
rnacentral:rRNA from 1 species